rnacentral:rRNA from 1 species
AUACGUAGGGGGCGAGCGUUGUCCGGAAUGAUUGGGCGUAAAGGGCGCGUAGGCGGCGCGGUAAGUCUGGAGUGAAAGUCCUGCUUUCAAGGUGGGAAUUGCUUUGGAUACUGCCGCGCUUGAGUGCAGGAGAGGUUAUCGGAAUUCCCGGUGUAGCGGUGAAAUGCGUAGAGAUCGGGAGGAACACCAGUGGCGAAGGCGGGUAACUGGACUGCAACUGACGCUGAGGCGCGAAAGUGUGGGGAGCAAACAGGAUUAGAUACCCUGGUAGUCCACGCGGUAAACGAUGAAUGCUAGGUGUUGCGGGUAUCGACCCCUGCAGUGCCGGAGUCAACACAAUAAGCAUUCCGCCUGGGGAGUACGGCCGCAAGGUUGAAACUCAAAUGAAUUGACGGGG